GGAAUGUAGCUCAGUGUAAACACCCUGGGUUCAAUUCCCAGUACUGCAUAAAUAAUAAAUGAGUACUAAAAGAACUAUUUGUUAAGCAGAUGAGGGUAGCAGAUGUUUCUUGAACUGUAGAGAAGGAUCCCUCGGCACACAGCCCAGGAUACCUGGUGAAGAGAGGGCCCCUUUGGCCUGUGAAAAGUUUGGGACAAGACCUCCAGGUUUCAGAGGUUUGGAAAAAGCCACCCCACUCACGGAAGAGUAUCAAGCUGUUGGCACCAGGCGGCCCAGGGAAACCCUGCACCUUUGCCUAGGAGCCAGGAAGGGUCUGGCCCUAUGGCUCUGUGACCUUGGCCUAUGGUGUCUGUCAGGCUGCUGGGAGAGGGAGUGGGACAGUUACUGCUCAUUCGCUCUGUCUGGAGCUGCUCCAGGUGCGUGGCCUGCUUUUAUACAGUCCUAGUUUGGAACUGUCUUUAUUUGAUAGGUGCAGAGAGUAAGUCUGGGACCUGUCUGAGAGCACAGUCUUUGUUGUUGUAGAACUGGGAUUGCAACUGGGGCCUUUGUACAGAGGUACAAGCCCAGCCUUUUUAUUUUUUUAAAUUUUGAGACAGGAAAAAAAAAAUUUUUUUGAGACAUAGAGGGUCUCACAAAGUCACUAAGUGGCCCAGGCUGGGCUGGAACUUUUGGUCCUCCUGCCUUGAAAGGCGCAGCACCAGGAAUCAAAUGCAGAUUUGUCUCCCCCAGAGCCUGUGUUUUUACCCCCUGCACCCCAAGGCCAGCCAGAAGGCAGGGCCCCUGGGCGGGGAGCCCAGGGAAGGCUUCCCCAGGAGCAGGCCCCAGCCAGGCCUCGGGCUGAGCCGGGAAGAGGGCGUGGCGAAGGCCGGGGCAAAAACCACCCAAAGGGGAGUCUCAGCAAGGGCCUUGCCCGGUGCAGGUUCACAGGAAGGCGGGGGUAGACUGGGGAGACUGUGGGGAAACCCAGGGUGACUAAGGCGCCCAGCAAGACCAAAUGACUUGGGGACCAGCUGGAACACGAGACACAUGCAGAUAACCCCAGGAGACAGUGUGCUGGACGGCGGGACGAGAGCUCCGGGCCCAGGUUGUGCCCAUUCAGCCUUGGCAGUGCUCAGACCUCUGCUCGCUCUUCUACAGGAGGCCGAAGAAUCUGCUGCCACGAGAGUGGUCCAGGAGGCAGAGGAGGCUGUUAAGAAGCUCCGGGGUCCAGCGGGGUUCCUCAGGGCCGUGUUCAGUGAAUGAGGGACCUAAGGCAGAGAUGCUUCAAGGAGACAACAGGCUGGGGCCAGGAUGUCACCUCAUGACUGUGACUACACAGGCUUCCUCAGUUGCUUGUUUUUCCCACAACCACCUCUGUUCUCCUGCUUCCCCGAGACCACCCCAACAGUCCUCAGCAGGCCUCCUGUGUGCAGUAACUAUGCAGAUUCAGAGAGCAAACUGGUGACUGCCUGUCGGACUUUCCCUGCUGGAGUUCCCCUGCCUUCGUGAUGAUGGCAGAAUGGCACAGUGACACAGGCGCAGCUGACUGGGAGGAGGGACGGCUCUGACUCAGCAGCAGAUCUCCCCGGGCUCCGCGUGGAAGUGGCCCAGUGAAAGGGGGUGCGAUGUGGAUGUUUCCAUAAGAGUCUGAGCCUGGGCUCCCCGCAAGUUCGGUCGUCUCAGCACAGUUCCCUGAGUCAGGGGAGGCCACCUGAGCUGCAUCCUGGGGAGGAUUCCCCUGGCAGUGCCUCGGAAGAUGAAAGAUGCCCAAGGAACAAGGAUAGUCCCGGCCCCGAGCAGCGGUCCUGGGAUACAUGGCCUUGGCCAACAAGAGAGCUGGGGCAUCUGAGAUUAGUUGCCACAGGUGGAGUGCGAGAGCAGCAGAGUCAGCCAGCCUCACUUUCCCAGAAAAACUGUGAGUCUGAAUUUUGCUGCGAAAUCUUUGCUAUCUCACCAUUUGCAACCCAUUAAAUUAAAAAACUCAGGGCCAGACAAAAUAAGACUUUGUACACCACCCUCUGUUCUACCUCCACCGUGACCCUGAACAGUAAGCAGCACCCAUUUCUUAGUCAGACAGGUUGCCACCCGGCCUGGGCUCUCAAAGUGCUCCUUCCUGUGAAGUGAGGCAGGACACGAAGUGCCAGUGUCAGCGUGGGGUCACCAGCGAAGCCCCACCCCACAAGUUUCAGCAUCACAUCUCAGCUCUGCUGCCCACUCCCUUGGGCUGACACCAAUCCUGGCCUGGUGCCUGCGGUGGCCGGGACAAGGGGCAGCUGGCAGCAGGUGAAGAGAUGCCUUGCACUGGGCUGCCCAGGCCUUGCCAUUGCAGGCACAGGCCAGGCUUGGCCACCAUAAAGGCAGGCUCUCGCUUUGUCCCCUGCUCUGGGGAUGCGGUAGAACCCUGUCCUUCUCCCCUAGAGAAGCAGUCAGCUGUGUUCCAGUGGCUUUCUGUCCUUGUAAUUUAAAAGUACAUCUGCGAAGAGUAUGUAUUUGCUUUGUAUGUGUUGCAGCUGAGCUGACUGUGUUUUGACACACUAGUUCAAAAUAAGGUUGACCCUUUGGAGAACUUGGUAACACAGUUGACUCAGCUUCAGCUCGAGGGGCUCCACUGGAAACAGCUGGGCGCACUCACAUCACCACGCCUCCCGCCUGAAUGGGACCUCGGGCCUGGCCGAGGAAGCUUUGGGGAGAACAGUGCUGCUUUAGACGCAAGAGCCAGAGAAGCAAAGUGCUAGCCCAGGAGGAAGGUUUUGCUUCAAAAAUAGUUCCUUUGCUUAGCUUUUUAAAUUUUUUUUGAAAAUGAAGACACUAAAGGAACCAGGCAUACAUAAGACCAUGCAAGAGGAAGAAACAGUUAAAAGAACUCACUGGAACUCUGAGAACAGCCUCAGACUGGCUGUGUAUGAGAAAGUGAGGGGCUGAGUUUGUGUACUAGUACAGCACAGUUGUAGCUGUUUCAUAUUUUGCACCAUUUCAGGGCCAGACGUGGUAGUGCAGGACUGUAACCCCAGCACUCCAGAGGCUGAGGCAGAAGGAUCCGAGGCCAGCUUGGACUAUACAAUUGUAGUUCAAAGCCAGCCUGGACUACAUAGUGAGACCCCAUCUCAAAACAACAACAAAAAUUUGCUACCAUUCUCCUUACAACUGGGCUCCUGGUCCCUGGGCACUUUUCAGUGCCUCUCGUUUGGUAACUGGCAGGCCUCACUUUGUAUAGUUGGUUUUACACCCGCACCCUGCUGCCUUCCACUUCAGGCUGCAGCCUCUGGAGGGCAACGCCAGCACUGCACACAGCUGGUCCCCAGGACCUCACGCUCCAGGUGUGGACAGCAAGUCAAGAACCCCUUUCAUUUUAACGAAGUUGUGCCUGUUCAGCACUGUUUCGGGGGACUUAAAAGCCGCCGAGGGAGAAGGGAGAUCCCCCCUGUAUGCCAGAUUAGUUCAGGUCAGUCCCUGGACAGCACACCUCUGGGAAGAUGAAUGUCAUCUGUGAGGGGCCAGGUGAUAGGACUCUCACCGUCGGGCGGUGGGAAAGUCCUGGUAACUAGUUAGAAGCAGCACCAUGACUGAGGAUGCCUUGUGGAGUGGUGAGGCCGACUGGGCUGAACGCAUAUUUGGCCCGUGCCAUCCCCAUGCCAUCUUCAUACUUGCAAGCUCCAUGACUCUCUGACCCACCCCACCCUCAAGUAGCAGCGGGAAUAUCAAAGCCUCAUUGUGGAGCUAAUGAUUACAUUUCUGUUGACCCUCUCACAGAUCUGGGUGGGGUGCAGGCAAGUAUCUUUAGUUUCAGGCCUUGGUCAAAGCUAAAUGUGACAGGUGGAAUGGGUGGCCCCCCAGCAGGUUAAGGGGCUAUCUAACCCUAUGAAGCUAAGGUGCAGGAUGAGGGCCUCAGAGUUAAUACUGGUCCAUGUGAGUGAGGCUUCUCUGAGGCAGAGUGGCUUAGUAAAGGACCACUGGCUUAACAAAAGCGGAAAUCCCUGUCUCCUCUUUUUCUGCUAAUGGGAGUUAAUGUAUGGAAAGGACUAAGGGGAGUGCCAGGCUCAGAAAUCCUACUCACUAAUAUGUUAACCACUGAGUCAUGCUCUGGUUUGAAUACAGUUUGCCUCAUGUUAAAAUGUGGUCUCCAGAGUAACAGCAUGGAGAGGUGUUGGGAACAUUAACAGGUGAUUAGACUGCUAAGAGGGAUUAAUGCAGUUCUCGUGGGACUGGGUUAGUUACAGCAAGAACAGGCUGUUACACAGCAAGGCUGCCCCUUUCUUUUGCUCCUUCAUCCACCUCUUUGCUUUUCUGCUUUCCGCCAUGUUAUGACACAGUGUGAGGCCUAUAUAGAGCUGCCUGAUCUUGGACUUUAGCCUUUGGAACCACAGUUUAAUAAAAUUUCCUUUAUAAAUUUCCCAGUUUAGGUAUUCUAUUAGAGGAACAGAAAAUUCACUAAGACAAGGCAGUUUCUCACAGUGCUUAGGAGAUGCCUCUGGAGACAGCUUGUCUGGAUUCACCGCAUUGUCUCCAAAUCCCUGGGCACUUUCUCAUUUCAUUUACCUCAUCUGGCCAGAGAUGAUGGGUCACAGGGGUAAUCUGGCCACAGGUUUAAUGGUGCAGUUGUAGAGACUCAGGGUAGACCAGUACCUGUGUUUGUAAGAGCCACAUGGACCCACUAAGGCUAUUUUUACCCCCUUCGCUGCUUGCGGGGUUUAGUUUCAUGGAGCUCAUGUCUGGAGGGGGAAGCAGUCAUCCAUUGUGGCAGGCAGAGGUUGGGCCCACAGUGACUGGAAGCAUAGAAGGGUCUGUUUGGAGGCAGAGGUCAUGGGAAGCAGGGUCACGUCAGAGUCAAGCAGACAAGAGGAGGCUGAGACUUUCUGACUGCAACACCUCAAGCAAGGCACUUGACCUCUCUGAGCCAUGCCCCUCUGAGAACUGAUAAACCUACACUGCAGAUCUGUGGAGCAGAUGACAGGAGAUAAGAUCACAUAUGCAAGCACGCCUGGCAUGCACAGGCACUUGGCAUGUGCUUGGCUCCCUGUUCUUCACAGCAAAGGCCCCAAAGAAACCCACCAGCCAGUGACUGCAUUGAGCCCAGUGCACACACACUGGCAGAGCUGCCUCAGCUGACCAUGUAUGGGAUUCUCUUACAGCUUUUCUAGUGUUUUCUUUUUUUUUUUUUUUUGGUACUGGGAAUCGAACUCAUGACCUUGCACUUGCCAGGCAGGCAUUGUGCUGCUGAGCUAUAUCCCCAGCCCUCUAGUGUUUUCCUUUAUUGCUCCCUCCUAGAUUAUUUUUUCUGCUUUGGUGCUAGAGAUCCAACCCAGUGGCUGGGAAAAUGCUCUACCACUGAGCUACACCCCUGGGCCCUCAUGGAUGUUUAAGCAGCUCUGUGCUCUGACUCCCCCAGGUAAUUCCAUUUUCUUUGUCUUUCCACAGCACCUGGACAGUGUUCUCCUGGCAUGCAGGUUUGGCACUGUCAUAAUUUCUGAGCCUCCAAGUUCCCCUGAGUCCAGCAGUUCCUGCCCAGGGUGUGCCCCGGUGUGCUGAGUGGGGAGGCCUUUGCUGAGGGGAGCUGUGUGCACAACACAGCUAGAGUGACCUUGUCCUGGGAGCUGUCUCCCCUCAACAGGACACGAAGUGGAAUAAAGACCUAAACUGCAUCAUAAAAUGGGGCCAGGAAAAGACAGGCGAGGAGCUGAGUGGGAGCCAUAGGCAGGUCAGGGUAGGGGCCUCGGUAAACAGAAAUGUUAAACAAGGGCUCCUCCCUGCACCACUCUAAACCUCAUAGUGUGCAAAGUUUGGCUCCAGAGACCUCCCAGUGACCCCAAUCUAAUUCUCUCAACUGUCCCGCAAUGGCUGAGGCAGGAAGAUAAGCGGCCUCCUUGAACCAGCACCUUCGAAAUCCCAUCAGCCCCUCUGUGGGUACAGCUGAGCCCUGAGCAGGCUGGGUGAGGGUGGGGUGUGCACAGGAGGGAGGGGUGGAGCAGAUAAGAGCCUUUGGGCCAAGGCCUGCACACCUGGGAUUCUAGGAAGGUGGUGCAGCCAGGUCUCCAGGCUCAGAUGACCUGGGCUCCAGUGGAAACCAACUGGAAUUAUAAUUAGGAUAAAAUCCAGAGCUAAAGAAGCAACAGGACAAAGAAACUAAUCACCAGGGUGCAGAAGGAGGGCCCCAUCUCAGUGCUGCCUCCUGGCCAGCCUGUCCCCUCUUGUCUGCCUUUCCCUGGUCUCACCUGCAGUCCGCAGUCUCCAGCACCCAAGUGUGUAACAUUCCCUCCCGCUGUCAGCUCCACUUCUCCUCAUAGUCCUUUUGUCCGCUUUCCUUCCUGUCCCUUGGUUCUUCAGCUCACAGUCCCCCGUUACCCUGCUGUUCUCUGCAUUCCCCUUGCCUUUGUUCCCCACCUCUAAGCAGGCUGGGAGUGGUGAACCCAGGAUGGUUGCCUAGCAAUGAGGAAAGUAGGACAAACACCCACCAGCAGCCAGGGAGAAAGAGAGGGACCCAGGGAGGAGGAACUGGGGUCCCACUGGCUCCCUCACUACCAACAUGAGCUGGGCUCCUGUCCUGGGAAAAGUUCCAGAGCUUUGUCACCCAGCCCUGACUCAGGCCAUUCUUCUCAGCAGCCCCACAGGCAUUUCCCUUUUCCAAAUGACCAGCCCAUCCUGAGCCCCCAACAAGGCCAGGGCUGAGGAGGGGGCGCCUCAUCAGGCAUAGCUCUUCACUGCUUGUGAGCCAGGAAGUGAGACCUGGGACUCAUCAUACCCAGAGGAGGAGGAGGAGCCAGCCCUGCUCUGUGGGGGUGGCAGGGGGAGAGGGAAGUACACGGAAUGGGCCUGUGACCACUAGGCCUGGGAUUUAGGGAGCUGCAGGGAGGUCUAGAGGCUUUAGACCCAGGACUCAGACUGGAUUCUUUUCUCUUAGGCAAUGGAUACUUGGUAUGCAGGGAUGGCUCUUCUGGUGGGGAGGGAAAGAGACUCAGGGCUUGGAACCAAGUCAUGGCAAUGGAGACAGUGUGGCUCAAGACCUGGGACCAGAAGGAAAAGUCCAUGUGUACAGACGGCCUUUGGGCCUGGUGGGCUGGAUGCUCCAUCCAGUGCAAGGGUCAGGUGCUGAGUCUAAUGCCUUUGUCCUUCUCAGGGAAACCAUAGCAUCUGUGGCUGAAACAUCCAAGGCAGAGGCCCCAAGGUGGGAUGUACUGCCUUCUGCCAUCCCCCUACAGGCCCAAGAACUCUGAUGAGUACAGCAUGGCUGGAGGGCGACAUCUGGCAGUGUUCUCUGUAACCUGGUUGACCUCCUUUGCUGGGCUUCAGUAGAUUCAGGCAAUAGUUGAUUAUGAAAGAUAAGCAGAGACCAAAGCCCCAGAGAGUUGUGACCAGGCCCUUUCCUUUCCCUGAAGUGGCCUCAUUUUGCACCAUCUGGAGUCCAAGGUCAGUCCAGCUUUGCAAAGCCCAUCGCUCACAUGCAGACACAAAAUUCAGACCAGGCUGCAAUCUUAACUCGGGUUGAUGUCUAGCACAUACUUAAAUGUUCAUUCAGAAUCCUUAACAUGAUAGCUACACCUCUCCCAUUCUCCUUAGAAAUGCCAGAAUGCUGGCUUCUUCAAAGGCUCUCCAUGGCUCUGUCAAGCUGGGGCUUCCAACAGCCUCUCCGGUUCUCAGAAUGAAAGCACUCAAUACCCAUCCAAGGCGUCACAGAACUGGUAAUUAAUAGUGCCUUCUGGAGUUGGUAAACGUAUUUGGUAUCCAUUUCUUUUGUGCUAUGGCGCCAUUCCAGCUGCCCCCCUUAGAGUAGGAGGCAGAGGGGAGAUGGUAUCCAUGCACUCCCUGCUUGCAGACCCUCUUUGCAAGGAGACUCUAAGCCCACCACUCCCUAAGACCUGCCUUCGCAGGCUGGGCACAGUGUGCAAGGAAGGACUCAGAAUCUCGACCUACUAUGCAGAAUCAGGUGGGCCUGCAGCAGAGAGCUGUUUUCCCUCCCUCCCUCUCAGAAUUAUGCCUUUGGGAGAUGGAGUCUGAAUAAUGUUUAGUAUGGAAGAUGGUAUCUGCAUUUGGGGGAAGCAUGUUGAACAAAAGAUCCAAUGAGGUUAAGGUGCCCCCUGUGAAGCCCCCUUCCUGUUACCCUCCCUUGAGGUAGACCAUUACUGUCCUCUACCACUGAGACUGCAGACUGAUUAAGUGCCUCACCCAGUGACUGGAAACCUCUGCUACUGGUCUAUAUAACUCAAGGGCCUGGCCUUCAUUGUGUUCCCUCAUCUUCAUGUCUGAGGUCUCUGUACACUGAUUAGCGACCAAGAUGAAACCCAGUGCAGUAGCCAUCAGGCCCAGCACACAUUCCCUGAGCUCACGGCCAAGGGGAGUGUCACCCCCGCUCCCCUUUUUCCUUCUCUGGAAGAGAACUGAUUCUGGCCUUUUUCUGCCUGGCUGGCGAUGCCUUCCUACACAGAUUUCCCCUCUUACAGAGGUGUAGUACAGUGGGUCACCCAGUGUCUUCAGACCAUGAGCACCUGGGAGCUUGCUAGAACUACAAAUUCUCUGGCUCCAGCCCAGAGCUACUAACUCAGAAAUGCUGGAGGUGUGACCAAGCUACCUGUAUUUUAACAAGCCCUCCAAGGGACUCUGAUGCAUGCUCAAGUUUGAGAACAGCUGGGAUAGUAUGUUACCUAAGAGCCCCAAGUAGGAAGCCACAUUUAGUUUCUGAUCCAUACACAGCGAACAGGUCCAGGGGUACGUGCUUUGCAGCUAUAGAGCAUCUUCCCAAGGGUGGCAUGCCACCGACCUCCCACACUCCAGCUGUAACCAAGCAUAUGACCCCCAAGCCUAGACUUGAAAUCCACCAGUGGCUCUUCCUAAGCUCUUCUCUUCUAGGAGGUGCAGCAGAAAUUCAGAUGGCUCUAGGCAUUGUCAUGGCAACUGGGCCUUUCGGAGUCUGUGGGGCACCAGGAGCAGGGAGGAAGCAGUGUAGAAGUCUGCCAGUGGAUGAAGCACAACCAGAUGAGGUGGCUGUGAAAACAGAUGGAAGCUCAGGAUGGCUGUUACUGAUGCAUCUGGAUCCUCUCCAGGGGUCUUCAGAGCCAUAAACCAGCAACAACCCAGUCGUCCAGGACAGCAGGAUUUCCCCAGGGGCUUGGGGAUGCAGACAAUGCAUACUUCCCAAAAGAUUUUCUACCUAGGUUAAACCGGGGCCCUAAAUAGCCACAGCGGUUAAGAAGAAGGUGCAUGCGAUAGUAUGACCACCUGUUUCAGGUCAGGACUCAGGAAAGGGACUCAAGUUUCAAACUUUUGAUUGGAUCUUGCUCUGAAAGCAGAUCUCAAGUCAUCAGGCCCCCUGGAGUAAUAUGUGACAGUGGCUAUGUUAGCUCUAAAAGAAAUAAAUGGUCAACAAGAAUUUAUACACCAAAGGCAUGUACCAUGUCCUGAAUGCUGGCAUCAGUCACCCCUGUGGCCCUCUCCAUUCCUCCAUUGAUACCCUCCAGGUGCUGGUCAGCGUCAGUGGCCUCUCUUCUGGGGGACACAUUUCACCCCAGAGACAGGCAGAGAGCAAGGGAGCAUGCUAGACCGUCACUGGCCCUGCAGCCAGGGGAGCCCCCACAUGCACAGUGGCCACUCAGGGCCCAGGGGAUAUUGCCUGUGUGCCAUGCACACCUAGCUGCUCCAAGCACUUGGCUGCUUUGGAAACCAAAGAGCUGUUGGUGCUUUUUGUUCUGGAAGAAGGAAGUAGCUUAUGUGAGAAUAAGAGACAAUUCUGCCUUGUUCUCAAGGAAAGGUUACAAAGUGUGAGGAGUCAGAAUGUGUGUGUGGGGGGGAAGCAGUCACCCAACAGUGUCAUCUAAGACGCAUGCGCUACCUAACCUCACCUAAGUCCCCCAGGUGGGCACUGAGAGCCCCCAGAACUUUCCAGAUGGUGGUUGUGCUUACCCUUGUACUCCCUGGCACUCCAGCCAAGCUAUGAUCUCUCUUCCCAUGCGCGUGGGAUCCUUUCCCACAGCUUCUUUAGUUUGCCCAAGCCCCCGCUGGCUCUCCAGGUACUCAGCUCCUCCUCUCUGCCUGUGGACGAGGCCGGGCGUUUACCAGAGGCUCCUUGGAACUGCCCUUCCCACAGCAGAACAGAGGUUGGCUGUUGUGAACAUCUUUUCUUGCCCUCACAGAGCUGCAGCAACCCAGAUCCACCUUCUCACUCAGGUCCUAGGACUCAGGUAUUCCACAACUGCAGCCUUGACCUCCCUCAGAUAUGGGGUAACCAAGAAGGGACAGGCUGACAAGGCUGUAACAUCCGCCUUCUGUGCUGCCCUGUCUGCUCCUUUUCCAGGGCACCAGGGACUCUUUAUCUCUGCGAGGCCCCAUGUGGAGCUCAGUGGCCCUGCACACCUCAGAGGGGAAGGUCUGCAGCGGUGCGUGGAGGGUGUGGGAGAGCCAGCGGCAGGGCUUCUCACUUCAUUCCUGUCGCUGCCCUUUAUAAAUAUUUAUAGCAGCUCUUCGACUAAAAACAACAUCCCGGAGCCCAGGGAACAGAAAAAAAUAAAUGAAAAUCUCACGGGGAUUUGGACUUGAUCAUGUGUGCCCCAGUCGCAGGAACCCCAAGGACCCAGGCUGCUACAGAGCAGCACUCAGGGGAGCCCCCUAGUGCCCCGCCCCUCCUCCCAGCACAGCCGGAAGCUUCACCAGUUGAGGGAAAGGAAGGAGGCUAUUUUUAGCAUGGUGGCGGUGGAGAGGGUGUGAAUGACUGUAGAAGUGAGGAGGCCUGCAGCUUUCUUUGCAUAAACGGAAGAAGACCUGUUGGUUUUUAAAGG